rnacentral:rRNA from 1 species
UACAGAGGGUGCAAGCGUUAAUCGGAAUUACUGGGCGUAAAGCGUGCGUAGACGGUUAUUUAAGUCAGGUGUGAAAGCCCCGGGCUCAACCUGGGAAUUGCAUUUGAGACUGAAUAGCUAGGGUGCGGAAGAGGGAAGCGGAAUUUCCGGUGUAGCGGUGAAAUGCGUAGAUAUCGGGAGGAACACCAGUGGCGAAGGCGGCUUCCUGGCCUGUUCUUGACGCUGAGGCGCGAAAGCUAGGGGAGCAAACGGG